GGAUGUGAGGGCAAUCUGGCUGUGACAUGUGUCACCUCAUUGAUUGCCAGAGUUGAUUUGGCUGAUCUGGCUGGCUAGCUGGGUAUCUCCAUCCUCCCUCACUGCUUCAUGUGCGUCUCCCUCGAAGCUGCAUGCCUGGUCAAGGAGGAUGACCUUCCCCAGUAGAGGAGGACUGUUUCUUGGUCAUGGGUGUACAAAUACCUGUGUUCCCCCGAUAGAACUUCCAAACAAGCUCUCCAGGUCCUUUUUAAGAACAUAGGGCAGUCAAGCUUCCAGGACUCCAGACACAUCCAAACAAAGCGAUACAUGUGGCAGUCGCCUUUCUUU
rnacentral:snRNA from 1 species